AGACCCCUGGAAGACUACCAGGUUGAUAGGCGGCCGGUGUAAGUGCAGCAAUGUAUUUAGCCUAGCCGUACUAAUGGUCGAAUGUAGUUUGUUU
rnacentral:rRNA from 1 species